rnacentral:misc_RNA from 1 species
GGAACGUCAAACAAAAUGGAUUCGACCGAGCCCUCUGGCUACCCCCGAGUAAAAUGUCCGCUUCGGGGACUUUUUAACUAAUUUAUUAACCCCUAAACUUAUCGAAAAAUUCAGGUACAUGCAACCAUGGAUCAAAGCAACACACACAAUAAACUGCCUUAAGUUUACGGUAGCUUUUCUACAUAUUAGUGUUAGUGUACGGACAUGCUAGUGUAGUGCAAGUGCAGAAUGUCGGACGACGAGGACUCUUCACCGGACUGGGCGCUGGUGCCCUCUAACAAUGUGCCAAUCCUGGGCAUCAAGCGUCUCAAGCAGAUCGAGACGUUGUUCCUCGCGCGGCGCCUCCAAGGGCACGCCGGGCUCAGCGUGGAGACGCUCCUCGACGUGUUGUUGGUGUUGUACGACGAGUGCUGUGGCAGCAGUUUGAGGAGGGAGAAGGCUGUUGCUGACUUCAUACAACACGUGAAGCCAGUGGCGACAGCCCUCAAACGGCUGCGGUUGUCGCGCGAUGACUUCGAGCUGGUUAAAGUGAUCGGCCGAGGCGCCUUCGGAGAGGUGUGCGUCGUCAGGGCGUCUUUUAUGCAGGGCACAGAUGCAGGCGCGAACACGGUGCCCGGUGGUACCGUUUCGACUACGACGGGCGAACGGGUGUACGCCAUGAAGAUACUCAACAAAUGGGAGAUGCUCAAGCGCGCGGAGACAGCAUGUUUUCAAGAGGAGCGAGAUGUGUUAGUGUAUGGAGACCGGCGGUGGAUCACCAACCUUCAUUACGCCUUUCAGGACGAACACAAUUUGUACCUGGUGAUGGACUACUACUGCGGAGGCGAUCUCCUGACCCUUCUAUCGAAGUUUGAGGACCGUCUACCCGAAGAUAUGGCCCGUUUCUACAUCGCUGAGAUGGUCCUCGCUGUACAGAGCGUCCAUGAACUACGAUAUGUGCACAGAGACAUCAAGCCAGAUAAUGUUUUGCUGGAUGCGAGCGGACACAUCAGACUCGCUGAUUUCGGCUCGUGCCUUCGACUGGGAGACGACGGGAAGGUACAAAGCAACGUUGCUGUUGGAACGCCUGAUUACAUAUCACCCGAGAUUCUUAGGGCGAUGGAAGACGGACAAGGAAGAUACGGCCCUGAAUGCGAUUGGUGGUCUUUAGGCGUGUGCAUGUACGAGAUGCUAUUCGGAGAGACGCCAUUCUACGCAGAGUCUCUUGUGGAAACAUACGGCAAGAUUAUGAACCACGCUCGUUCUUUCAGCUGUCCGCCGCCUCUAGAACAUGCUAAACAGGUGUCAGACGAGGCUACGGACUUGAUUAGGAAACUAAUAUGCGCUGCUGACCAAAGGCUGGGAAAGAAUGGCUUGCAAGAUUUCAAGAGCCACGGUUGGUUCGCUGGCUUAGAGUGGGAGGCGCUUCGAGAAGUGCAAGCACCCUUCGUUCCGGAUGUAGCAAGUCCCACUGACACUUCUAACUUCGAUGUUGAUGACACCGAUAUCAGAUUGUCAGAAGCAGUGCCACCGCCGUCAGCGUCAUCAGCGUUCUCGGGGCUACACCUGCCGUUCGUGGGGUUCACGUUCACGGCCGGCAGCCGCCUGUCCGACCUGGGCGCUCCGGCUACACCGCUCAGCCCCGCCAAGAAUGCUCCCAGCCAGGCUCCAUCAAACGCUGGCGACAGAGCAGCCCUAAAAGCCCUGGAGCGAGAAAACGCGCUUCUAGCACAAACCAUCGCCGAGUUAAGAUCUGGAGGCCAACCUUUGGACGCUGGGAGUGAAGAAUCGAUCACGUUGAAAGAGGAGCUCGCUGCACUAUCGAAAAGGAACGCAGAGUUAGAAGCGCAAGUACGGUGUUACGAGCAGCUCAGCGGUGGAGUAGCUCAGGAUCCAUCGGCGCCUCAAGAUCUAGUAACGAGAGUUCGAGAGCUGGAGGUGAUGGUCACAACCCUCAAUCUUGAGAAGGAGGAACUCGUCAAGGACAAAGUAGAUUCUUCUGAAAAGCUCAGGUUGCAGGACAAAGAACUGAAGGACGCCGUGGCGCAGCGGAAACUAGCUAUGACGGAGUACAACGAAGUGACGGACCGGCUGUCGGAGUUGCGGCAACAGAAACAAAAGUUAUCGAGACAGGUUCGCGAUAAAGAAGAGGAGCUAGAAGUGGCUAUGCAGAAGAUAGAUGCACUAAGACAGGAUAUUCGUCGCUCGGAUAAAGGUCGGCGAGAAUUAGAAGCGAGGCUCGACACUGCUAUUUCAGAGGCUACUAAAGAGCGCAAGCUGCGGGAAGAGACGCUCCGCUCCGUCCGAGCGGAGGCGGGCGCGGGAGCGGUGGCGGUGGCGGGCGGCGCGGCGGCCGACGUGGCGCGCCUGCAGGCCGAGGUGGACGCGCUCGAGUUGCAGUACAAAGAAUCGCUCGCGCAACAACAACAGCGGUACAACGCAGACCUCGCGUCGCUCAGAGAACAACUACACGAAGGAGAUGCGGUCAGGAGCGUGCUCAAUAGAGAGUUACAGACAUCGAAAGAUAAGCUGGAGAGCCGGCGGUUAGAACAGAUGAACGACAGUGAAGACAGACAGAUGCUUAUCAACGAGAACAGGAAACUCGCCAAGGACCUAGAUGCGAUGGCCGAAAACGGUCGCCGGUGGCAGGCGGAGCGAAGGCAGUUAGAAAUGGAGUUAGAGGAGCUCAGAGCUAAACGAGACACCAUGCAACACUGGGAAACUCAGAUAGCGGACAUCAUCCGAUGGGUGGCGGACGAGAAGGAGGCUCGAGGAUACUUGCAAGCGCUGGCUACUAAGAUGACCGAGGAACUGGAGUACCUCAAGAUUGCUUCGGCCACUCGCGGCACUAUCGCCGCCCCCGCGUCUCCACCGGCCGCCCCGGGCGCGCCCGGCGGCUGGCGGAACCGGCGCUCGCAGAAACUGGACAAGAUGGAGAUCCUCACGCUGCAGUCCAGCCUGCACUCCGAGAUACAGGCCAAGCAGCAAGUCGGCGAGGAGCUCAGCAGGACCCGGGCCGAGCUGCUGCACAGCCAGAGGUCAGUUAUACAACCGGCGCUCGCAGAAACUGGACAAGAUGGAGAUCCUCACGCUGCAGUCCAGCCUGCACUCCGAGAUACAGGCCAAGCAGCAAGUCGGCGAGGAGCUCAGCAGGACCCGGGCCGAGCUGCUGCACAGCCAGAGGUCAGUUAUACAACCGGCGCUCGCAGAAACUGGACAAGAUGGAGAUCCUCACGCUGCAGUCCAGCCUGCACUCCGAGAUACAGGCCAAGCAGCAAGUCGGCGAGGAGCUCAGCAGGACCCGGGCCGAGCUGCUGCACAGCCAGAGGUCAGUUAUACAACCGGCGCUCGCAGAAACUGGACAAGAUGGAGAUCCUCACGCUGCAGUCCAGCCUGCACUCCGAGAUACAGGCCAAGCAGCAAGUCGGCGAGGAGCUCAGCAGGACCCGGGCCGAGCUGCUGCACAGCCAGAGGUCAGUUAUACAACCGGCGCUCGCAGAAACUGGACAAGAUGGAGAUCCUCACGCUGCAGUCCAGCCUGCACUCCGAGAUACAGGCCAAGCAGCAAGUCGGCGAGGAGCUCAGCAGGACCCGGGCCGAGCUGCUGCACAGCCAGAGGUCAGUUAUACAACCGGCGCUCGCAGAAACUGGACAAGAUGGAGAUCCUCACGCUGCAGUCCAGCCUGCACUCCGAGAUACAGGCCAAGCAGCAAGUCGGCGAGGAGCUCAGCAGGACCCGGGCCGAGCUGCUGCACAGCCAGAGGUCAGUUAUACAACCGGCGCUCGCAGAAACUGGACAAGAUGGAGAUCCUCACGCUGCAGUCCAGCCUGCACUCCGAGAUACAGGCCAAGCAGCAAGUCGGCGAGGAGCUCAGCAGGACCCGGGCCGAGCUGCUGCACAGCCAGAGGUCAGUUAUACAACCGGCGCUCGCAGAAACUGGACAAGAUGGAGAUCCUCACGCUGCAGUCCAGCCUGCACUCCGAGAUACAGGCCAAGCAGCAAGUCGGCGAGGAGCUCAGCAGGACCCGGGCCGAGCUGCUGCACAGCCAGAGGUCAGUUAUACAACCGGCGCUCGCAGAAACUGGACAAGAUGGAGAUCCUCACGCUGCAGUCCAGCCUGCACUCCGAGAUACAGGCCAAGCAGCAAGUCGGCGAGGAGCUCAGCAGGACCCGGGCCGAGCUGCUGCACAGCCAGAGGUCAGUUAUACAACCGGCGCUCGCAGAAACUGGACAAGAUGGAGAUCCUCACGCUGCAGUCCAGCCUGCACUCCGAGAUACAGGCCAAGCAGCAAGUCGGCGAGGAGCUCAGCAGGACCCGGGCCGAGCUGCUGCACAGCCAGAGGUCAGUUAUACAACCGGCGCUCGCAGAAACUGGACAAGAUGGAGAUCCUCACGCUGCAGUCCAGCCUGCACUCCGAGAUACAGGCCAAGCAGCAAGUCGGCGAGGAGCUCAGCAGGACCCGGGCCGAGCUGCUGCACAGCCAGAGGUCAGUUAUACAACCGGCGCUCGCAGAAACUGGACAAGAUGGAGAUCCUCACGCUGCAGUCCAGCCUGCACUCCGAGAUACAGGCCAAGCAGCAAGUCGGCGAGGAGCUCAGCAGGACCCGGGCCGAGCUGCUGCACAGCCAGAGGUCAGUUAUACAACCGGCGCUCGCAGAAACUGGACAAGAUGGAGAUCCUCACGCUGCAGUCCAGCCUGCACUCCGAGAUACAGGCCAAGCAGCAAGUCGGCGAGGAGCUCAGCAGGACCCGGGCCGAGCUGCUGCACAGCCAGAGGUCAGUUAUACAACCGGCGCUCGCAGAAACUGGACAAGAUGGAGAUCCUCACGCUGCAGUCCAGCCUGCACUCCGAGAUACAGGCCAAGCAGCAAGUCGGCGAGGAGCUCAGCAGGACCCGGGCCGAGCUGCUGCACAGCCAGAGGUCAGUUAUACAACCGGCGCUCGCAGAAACUGGACAAGAUGGAGAUCCUCACGCUGCAGUCCAGCCUGCACUCCGAGAUACAGGCCAAGCAGCAAGUCGGCGAGGAGCUCAGCAGGACCCGGGCCGAGCUGCUGCACAGCCAGAGGUCAGUUAUACAACCGGCGCUCGCAGAAACUGGACAAGAUGGAGAUCCUCACGCUGCAGUCCAGCCUGCACUCCGAGAUACAGGCCAAGCAGCAAGUCGGCGAGGAGCUCAGCAGGACCCGGGCCGAGCUGCUGCACAGCCAGAGGUCAGUUAUACAACCGGCGCUCGCAGAAACUGGACAAGAUGGAGAUCCUCACGCUGCAGUCCAGCCUGCACUCCGAGAUACAGGCCAAGCAGCAAGUCGGCGAGGAGCUCAGCAGGACCCGGGCCGAGCUGCUGCACAGCCAGAGGUCAGUUAUACAACCGGCGCUCGCAGAAACUGGACAAGAUGGAGAUCCUCACGCUGCAGUCCAGCCUGCACUCCGAGAUACAGGCCAAGCAGCAAGUCGGCGAGGAGCUCAGCAGGACCCGGGCCGAGCUGCUGCACAGCCAGAGGUCAGUUAUACAACCGGCGCUCGCAGAAACUGGACAAGAUGGAGAUCCUCACGCUGCAGUCCAGCCUGCACUCCGAGAUACAGGCCAAGCAGCAAGUCGGCGAGGAGCUCAGCAGGACCCGGGCCGAGCUGCUGCACAGCCAGAGGUCAGUUAUACAACCGGCGCUCGCAGAAACUGGACAAGAUGGAGAUCCUCACGCUGCAGUCCAGCCUGCACUCCGAGAUACAGGCCAAGCAGCAAGUCGGCGAGGAGCUCAGCAGGACCCGGGCCGAGCUGCUGCACAGCCAGAGGUCAGUUAUACAACCGGCGCUCGCAGAAACUGGACAAGAUGGAGAUCCUCACGCUGCAGUCCAGCCUGCACUCCGAGAUACAGGCCAAGCAGCAAGUCGGCGAGGAGCUCAGCAGGACCCGGGCCGAGCUGCUGCACAGCCAGAGGUCAGUUAUACAACCGGCGCUCGCAGAAACUGGACAAGAUGGAGAUCCUCACGCUGCAGUCCAGCCUGCACUCCGAGAUACAGGCCAAGCAGCAAGUCGGCGAGGAGCUCAGCAGGACCCGGGCCGAGCUGCUGCACAGCCAGAGGUCAGUUAUACAACCGGCGCUCGCAGAAACUGGACAAGAUGGAGAUCCUCACGCUGCAGUCCAGCCUGCACUCCGAGAUACAGGCCAAGCAGCAAGUCGGCGAGGAGCUCAGCAGGACCCGGGCCGAGCUGCUGCACAGCCAGAGGUCAGUUAUACAACCGGCGCUCGCAGAAACUGGACAAGAUGGAGAUCCUCACGCUGCAGUCCAGCCUGCACUCCGAGAUACAGGCCAAGCAGCAAGUCGGCGAGGAGCUCAGCAGGACCCGGGCCGAGCUGCUGCACAGCCAGAGGUCAGUUAUACAACCGGCGCUCGCAGAAACUGGACAAGAUGGAGAUCCUCACGCUGCAGUCCAGCCUGCACUCCGAGAUACAGGCCAAGCAGCAAGUCGGCGAGGAGCUCAGCAGGACCCGGGCCGAGCUGCUGCACAGCCAGAGGUCAGUUAUACAACCGGCGCUCGCAGAAACUGGACAAGAUGGAGAUCCUCACGCUGCAGUCCAGCCUGCACUCCGAGAUACAGGCCAAGCAGCAAGUCGGCGAGGAGCUCAGCAGGACCCGGGCCGAGCUGCUGCACAGCCAGAGGUCAGUUAUACAACCGGCGCUCGCAGAAACUGGACAAGAUGGAGAUCCUCACGCUGCAGUCCAGCCUGCACUCCGAGAUACAGGCCAAGCAGCAAGUCGGCGAGGAGCUCAGCAGGACCCGGGCCGAGCUGCUGCACAGCCAGAGGUCAGUUAUACAACCGGCGCUCGCAGAAACUGGACAAGAUGGAGAUCCUCACGCUGCAGUCCAGCCUGCACUCCGAGAUACAGGCCAAGCAGCAAGUCGGCGAGGAGCUCAGCAGGACCCGGGCCGAGCUGCUGCACAGCCAGAGGUCAGUUAUACAACCGGCGCUCGCAGAAACUGGACAAGAUGGAGAUCCUCACGCUGCAGUCCAGCCUGCACUCCGAGAUACAGGCCAAGCAGCAAGUCGGCGAGGAGCUCAGCAGGACCCGGGCCGAGCUGCUGCACAGCCAGAGGUCAGUUAUACAACCGGCGCUCGCAGAAACUGGACAAGAUGGAGAUCCUCACGCUGCAGUCCAGCCUGCACUCCGAGAUACAGGCCAAGCAGCAAGUCGGCGAGGAGCUCAGCAGGACCCGGGCCGAGCUGCUGCACAGCCAGAGGGAGCUUCUAGAAACCCGCCAGCGGCUAGACGCGCUCGCGCAUGACAUGAAGCGGAAAGAGCAACACAUUCGCGAGAUGCAGACGCGGCUCGACGCGCCGCACCAGCCCAACAAUUCCUUCCAACGUCGACAACGGCGAAAAAAACG